UACGGAGGGGGCUAGCGUUGUUCGGAAUUACUGGGCGUAAAGCGCACGUAGGCGGAUUGUUAAGUCAGGGGUGAAAUCCUGGAGCUCAACUCCAGAACUGCCUUUGAUACUGGCGAUCUUGAGUCCGGGAGAGGUGAGUGGAACUGCGAGUGUAGAGGUGAAAUUCGUAGAUAUUCGCAAGAACACCAGUGGCGAAGGCGGCUCACUGGCCCGGUACUGACGCUGAGGUGCGAAAGCGUGGGGAGCAAACAGG
rnacentral:rRNA from 1 species